CACGUAGGGGGCAAGCGUUGUCCGGAUUUAUUGGGCGUAAAGAGCUCGUAGGCGGCUUAGUAAGUCGGGUGUGAAACCUCCAGGCUCAACCUGGAGACGCCACCCGAUACUGCUGUGGCUAGAGUCCGGUAGGGGAGCGUGGAAUUCCUGGUGUAGCGGUGAAAUGCGCAGAUAUCAGGAGGAACACCAGCGGCGAAGGCGGCGCUCUGGGCCGGUACUGACGCUGAGGAGCGAGAGCAUGGGGAGCGAACAGG
rnacentral:rRNA from 1 species